ACACCAUAAACUUACAAUACAACACACCAAAAAUGACAAUCUGAUUUGUGUUCAUUUAAUUAAUUUUACUGAGCCCUUCAGCCUGAUCUUUUCUCUUUUAGCUUUUGUGGUUUACACAAAUCUGAAAUUUUACAUACACUGUUAGAUGUCGCUGUAGAUUUAGCAGUACAUUACUGUAAAAAUCCACAGUACUAUACUGUAUGUAUACAUUACAGUACAGUACUGCAGUUCAUAAUGCAUUCUGGGUAAAUUUGUUUGAGCGGGAAAAUUUUACAGUAUAUUUUGGUCUUGAUGUAACCUGUAGCCAUUGCUGUAAUGUGCCAGGUGUACUUGCAAUAAUCAGAGAAAGUGCGCCAGAGUCAAAUCACACAGAGGGAGAGAGAGCACAACUCCUGGCUGCAGCUGAAGGAGGAUGAUUGAUUUCUGGCAGUUCGUCUUACCAUUGCUUGUAAGCUGGAUUGGGUAAGAUGGAUCAUCUUUAAAGGCACCAGGAGUUAAGGCAGAUGUGGAGGCACAACGGGUGAUACCAGACACACACCAAGCACAUUAUGUUCGGACAUUCAAUCAUGACAGGAUCCAGGUGGAUGCUGUCCAUUGAUGAAAGAGUUUGUUCAGCGGUUUCUGGAUAGAAUGAAUUCCAAAGAUGGGAAAAAGUGCACAUCCAGACAAGGAGCAAGCAAAAAGACAAGGAACUUGGUGCAGAGAAAAGCUGUGGCCAUUAACCCCCAUGUGAACAGCUUCAUGCAGUCCCUGAUUGAGUUCGAAUGGACGACUUCAAAGUAAAGGCCACUGUGGUCUGUCUGCCACAGUUUAAUGCAUUUAUUUUUAGUUUUAAAUGAAAUUCAAGUAGAAUAUUUAAAACUAUGGGCCAGUGUUCUUUUUACCACAGUGAAAUGUUACCUUUUAGUCGAUGAUGGACUUUAAACUGAAAACUUCAAACUAUGGAACAGUGUUCUAUUUGCCAGAGUUAAAUAUGUUACAGCAGGGGUCUCCAAACUUGUUUAUACUUG